CAAAAUAAAGCUUAUAGAAAGUGCUUCAUUUACGCUGGGGAGAUUAUUUGUGCAAUUCAAAUUAUUUUGA
rnacentral:tRNA from 1 species